rnacentral:misc_RNA from 1 species
GUAACAAGGUUUCCGUAGGUGAACCUGCGGAAGGAUCAUUACCGAGUGUAGGGUUCCUAGCGAGCCCAACCUCCCACCCGUGUUUACUGUACCUUAGUUGCUUCGGCGGGCCCGCCAUUCAUGGCCGCCGGGGGCUCUCAGCCCCGGGCCCGCGCCCGCCGGAGACACCACGAACUCUGUCUGAUCUAGUGAAGUCUGAGUUGAUUGUAUCGCAAUCAGUUAAAACUUUCAACAAUGGAUCUCUUGGUUCCGGCAUCGAUGAAGAACGCAGCGAAAUGCGAUAACUAGUGUGAAUUGCAGAAUUCCGUGAAUCAUCGAGUCUUUGAACGCACAUUGCGCCCCCUGGUAUUCCGGGGGGCAUGCCUGUCCGAGCGUCAUUGCUGCCCAUCAAGCACGGCUUGUGUGUUGGGUCGUCGUCCCCUCUCCGGGGGGGACGGGCCCCAAAGGCAGCGGCGGCACCGCGUCCGAUCCUCGAGCGUAUGGGGCUUUGUCACCCGCUCUGUAGGCCCGGCCGGCGCUUGCCGAACGCAAAUCAAUCUUUUUCCAGGUUGACCUCGGAUCAGGUAGGGAUACCC